GGUUGUAGCUCAGUGGUAGAGUGCUCACCUUGCAUAUGGAAGGAACUGGGUUCAAUCCUCAGCACCA
rnacentral:tRNA from 1 species